GUCCCAUAACAGAUCUCCCCUCCACAACCUGCAGAAAAGGAUGGAUGGAUGGAUGGAUGGAUGGAUAUUAUGCCUCAGAGCCAAGAUUUCAUGAGGUUGCAGGUCACCAGACCCACACUGACAAAGUUCCCGCUGUAGCUGACGGACACGCAGAGAUAAUCUGCUGACUUCUCACUAUUCUCCAGGACAUUACUAGGGUGGGAUGCUUAGAGUGACGCUUCUGCGGGCGCAAUAUUGAUUUUAAGCCCGUACGUUAAUUCAUCAUCGCCGACGCGACUUCGCAUUAAAUUUUAAUAUGUGUGCUGUGCGGUAACCCUGUGUCAUUUUUGUAACUGAACUGGUACAUUAAAGAGGGAAAAAGGCCCAUCCAUUAAAGUUAAACAAAAUUCCCUAGGUAUGAACUAAUGUAAAAGUGAGCAAUGUGAAGCAGUGCCGGAAUAACAUUGGUUCAGGUCUAUUGCGAAGGUGGAACACAGUGCCGCGUCCUUACUGGAGAGGAUGCAGCGGCUGGAUCUAAUGUCCGAGAUGAACCAGCAUUCAUCUUCAGCAGGUCCCUGAUCCUGUCCCUAAUGGGGCAAAGAGGGCAUUACACUACAUGUCUUUCUAGAGGUUAAUGACAUAAGGUUGCAGGCAAGGAGUUAUAGUGUCAGGAUUGACUACGAUUUGGACAAAAGUCAGGAGAAGGGUUGGAUCUCCAAGCAUCAGCCUGGACCUCCAAAAAUCAGCCUGGACCUCCAAAAGUCAACCUGGACCUCCAAACAUCAUCUUGGACCUCCAAACAUCAACCUGGACCUCUAAACAUCAGCCUGGACCUCCAAACAUCAGCCUGGACCUCCAAACAUCAGACUGGACCUCCGGCAUCAGCUUGGGCCUCCGGCAUCAGCUUGGGCCUCCGGCAUCAGCUUGGGCCUCCAAACAUCAGCCUGGAUCUUCAGACAUCAGCCUGGAUCUCCAAGCAUCAGCCUGGACCUUCAGACAUCAGCUUGGACCUUCAGACAUCAGCCUGGACCUAUAGCAUCAGCCUGGACUUCAGGGAUCAGCCUGGACCUCCAAAUCCUUUCACCUCACAGUGCUCAAGCAGAUAAUUACAAACCCACACCAGUUACAAACACCAGUGUUAAAAAGUGUCUGAUUUGCUGAACUUUGCAUUUUUUCUGGCUUGAGGUCAAGCAAUUACAGGCAUCCUUUGGU